UACGUAGGGGGCUAGCGUUGUCCGGAAUCAUUGGGCGUAAAGCGCGUGUAGGCGGCCCGGUAAGUCCGCUGUGAAAGUCGGGGGCUCAACCCUCGAAUGCCGGUGGAUACUGUCGGGCUAGAGUGCGGAAGAGGCGAGUGGAAUUCCUGGUGUAGCGGUGAAAUGUGCAGAUAUCAGGAGGAACACCAAUUGCGAAGGCAGCUCGCUGGGACGUGACUGACGCUGAGACGCGAAAGCGUGGGGAGCAAACAGG
rnacentral:rRNA from 1 species